rnacentral:rRNA from 1 species
UACGGGGGGGGCAAGCGUUGUUCGGAAUUACUGGGCGUAAAGGGCUCGUAGGCGGCCAACUAAGUCAUACGUGAAAUCCCUCAGCUUAACUGGGGAACUGCGUGUGAUACUGGAUGGCUUGGAUUUGGGAGAGGGAUGCGGAAUUCCAGGUGUAGCGGUGAAAUGCGUAGAUAUCUGGAGGAACACCGGUGGCGAAGGCGACUACCUGGCCUGUUCUUGACGCUGAGGCGCGAAAGCUAGGGGAGCAAACGGG